rnacentral:rRNA from 1 species
GAUGAACGCUGGCGGCGUGCCUAAUACAUGCAAGUCGAGCGAACAGACGAGGUGCUUGCUCCUCUGACGUUAGCGGCGGACGGGUGAGUAACACGUGGAUAACCUACCUAUAAGACUGGGAUAACUUCGGGAAACCGGUGCUAAUACCGCAUAAUAUAUUGAACCGCAUGGUUCAAUAGUGAAAGACGCUUUUGCUUCCACCUAUAGAUGUAUCCCCGCCGCAUAAGCUAUUUGGUAAGGUAACGGCCUACCAAGCCAACGAUGAGUAGCCGACUUGAGAGGGUGAUCGGCAACACUGGAACUGAGAAAGGGUCAAGACUCCUAGGGGAGGAAGCGGAAGGGAAUCUUCCGAAAUGGGGGAAGGCUUGACGGACAAACGCGGCGUGAGUAAUGAAGGUCUUCGGAUCGUAAAACUCUGUUAUUAGGGAAGAACAAAUGUGUAAGUAACUAUGCACGUAUUGACGGUAACUACUCAGAAAGCCACGGCUAACUACGUG